rnacentral:lncRNA from 1 species
GGGCCCCGUGCUCCAGAGCCUUCCAUCGCUAAUGAGAACCAACGUGUUCACACCCUACUCCUUCAGAGCGCUCGCGGAGGAAGAGUCGCGCAAACAAUGAGGCGGAUUUCCGAGCAAAUGAAUCCGUCGACAUCGUCUCCGCUGCUCAUCUAGUCUCAAAGAGAGAUUAGGAGAUUAAAGUUGAGGGAUAAACCUGAGAAGCAAUGGCAUGAGUUUAGCACUGGGUUGGACAAGUGUGUUCUUUGGUGUGAUGAGCAGUGCUACUGUUUCCUCAUACACACGUCAGAGUCUACAGCCAGCACCCAAAGGCUAACCACCACUACGGCUCUCGCAACCAGACCCAGGAGCAGGAAGAGCCUGCACAAGAGCUCCCUCUAAUGGCAAACUAGGAGCACAAAACAUGGACCUGCUGGGUGUCUACAUGGCGGUAUUUACGGAGCACAAUUUCAUAUAAAUAUCAGGCGCUGAGGGUUUUGUUUUAAAUAUUAACACUGUUUUUGUUCAUUUUGCCAUCAGUUUCUCUAAGAACUGUCCCAACAGAACACAAAUACAGCACCAAACUCACCUUGGAAUCAGUAUGGGACCAAACUGGAUGCCCCCAUUUUUUUUUACACACACACAAUCCAAGCACGUCUCCCUCUAAUUCUCAUUCCCGCCCUCUGGGGGGUCCAGUGGGAGGAGCAGUCUGGCCCUGAUAACAACAAUUAAGACCACUGCACAUUAACACAUCCUGGUGUACAUCAAAGCAUCUCAUUACCUCUACACAAUUAAUCUGUUAGUGGUCAUUGUCUCCUGGGGUUCCCCACAGCAGGGUGUUCUCAAUCGGUUUAAUUUUGAAAAUGGAGGGUGGAGGGAAACAUUCCCAAAGGGAAGGGUUUUACAUAGAUACCAUUUUGGCUCUAAUGAACUCCUGUUUGUUGUCUUGAUUGCAUGCUAACUAAUAUGCUUCUUUUCACCCACUUCAUAAUGACUGACCUUUUGGUACAGCUCAGAAUGUACGUGUUAGAUUUUUAACCUUGGGAUCACACCUGCAUUCUGGGCACCGUCAAGAAACAUCUUUCUGGAUUCCAGUGGCGUAAUGAGGGUCGCUACAUUUGGUGUCAGCUGUUAAACGCA